rnacentral:rRNA from 1 species
GAUGCAGCAACGCCGCGUGAGGGACGACGGCCUUCGGGUUGUAAACCUCUUUUAGCAGGGAAGAAGCGAAAGUGACGGUACCUGCAGAAAAAGCACCGGCUAACUACGUGCCAGCAGCCGCGGUAAUACGUAGGGUGCAAGCCUUGUCCGGAAUUAUUGGGCGUAAAGAGCUCGUAGGCGGUUUGUCACGUCUGCUGUGAAAUCCCGNNKCUCAACCUCGGGCUUGCAGUGGGUACGGGCAGACUAGAGUGCGGUAGGGGAGAUUGGAAUUCCUGGUGUAGCGGUGGAAUGCGCAGAUAUCAGGAGGAACACCGAUGGCGAAGGCAGAUCUCUGGGCCGUAACUGACGCUGAGGAGCGAAAGCAUGGGGAGCAAACAGGCUUAGAUACCCUGGUAGUCCAUGCCGUAAACGUUGGGAACUAGAUGUGGGGACCAUUCCACGGUCUCCGUGUCGUAGCUAACGCAUUAAGUUCCCCGCCUGGGGAGUACGGCCGCAAGGCUAAAACUCAAAGGAAUUGACGGGGGCCCGCACAAGCGGCGGAGCAUGCGGAUUAAUUCGAUGCAACGCGAAGAACCUUACCAAGGCUUGACAUAUACGAGAACGCACUGGAGACAGUGAACUCUUUGGACACUCGUAUACAGGUGGUGCAUGGUUGUCGUCAGCUCGUGUCGUGAGAUGUUGGGUUAAGUCCCGCAACGAGCGCAACCCUCGUCCUAUGUUGCCAGCACGUAAUGGUGGGAACUCAUGGGAUACUGCCGGGGUCAACUCGGAGGAAGGUGGGGAUGAGGUCAAAUCAUCAUGCCCCUUAUGUCUUGGGCUUCACGCAUGCUACAAUGGCCAGUACAAUGGGCUGCGAUACCGUAAGUGGGAGCGAAUCCCAAAAAGCUGGUCUCAGUUCGGAUUGAGGUCUGCAACUCGACCUCAUGAAGUCGGAGUCGCUAGUAAUCGUAGAUCAGCAACGCUACGGUGAAUACGUUCCCGGGCCUUGUACACACCGCCCGUCAAGUCAUGAAAGUCGGUAACACCCGAAGCCGGUGGCCUAACCUUUUGGAGGGAGCCGUCGAAGGUGGGAUC